GGAAAGGCUCCACGAGCGAAGAGGCCGGGAGGGUUUCCCGUCGCUCGCGAGUCGCGAGUCGGCUUCCCCUCGCGACGCCGCCGCCUCCGACCACCGCCUCCGACCACCGCCUCCGCCUCUGCCCCGGCAUCCGGCCGUCGCCUCCGCCCCGGCAUCUGGCCGCCGCCUCCGCCCCAGGAUCCAGUCGCUGCCCCAGGUCCCGUCUUUGCUGCCCCGUUGCCUCGCGCCGGUGAACACGCCUCCGCCACCGUGACUUCCCUGGACGGCGCAUCCGGCUCCGCUUCGUUCCACCACCGUCGUUAUCGUCGAUCUUGGAGCUGCUGCUGCCAUCUCAUCUGCAAUUUCGGGCCAGUGGAGGAAGGUCCGCCCCACGCCUAGCUCCACGUGCUGCUCCAGUGAGGAAUCCACCACAGCAAGUGCAGGUAUAUUGUUUGAAUAUGCCCUUCUAUGUAGAUCUUCGUAAUUUGCAAUUUGCUUGCUGUGGCACUAGAUUUCUGUUUUCUGGGAAACACAUGACAAUUGUGUUUAGGAUUACACUAGUGGUUUCCUUUAAAUUCUAAAAGUAAAGGUCAAUUACACAAUUACAAAGGAUGUUGCAAGCUAAUUCUAGUUCUAUAUGCUGUGACUAGAAUGAUAGUUCUGAACAUUCUCACGAAUACCAUCAAUAUCUACUGGAGGAGCAGCGAUGAAGGCGAUAAUAAAUACGGAAGUUGCGGUCAAUAAGGUAGGGAUCAUCAAAACACCGAACCAUCCAAUGUAAAGACGGUUUUCGGUGCUAGUUAUCCAGUUGCAGAAGCGACCCCACAGGCUUGUACUUUCGCGUCUCUCUAAAAUUGCACUCAUGGUAAGAUCUUGGUUUAUUCAAAUUGCAAGGACUCCCAAGCACACGUAUUAACUAGAAAGAAAAUAGAUAAUAGAAGGCUUGUUAUUUAACAGUA